GAUUUAAAAGAAUUUAAAAGAUAAUGUAAAUUGUUAAAGCUAGAACCCACGUGUGAUUUUGUUUUUAUAAUUUCUAACAGAAAAAACACAAAAUAGUUUGAUGACUAUUUCUCAUAACAUAAAAUAGCUAUUAAUGGAUGAAAUUAUUGAGCUUGGUGAGAUGCGAUUAGAACCGUUUCGUCUCAUCAACAACACUCAAGAAGCCAUGGAUGCUGAAAGAAAGAGGAAAAUCGCAAAGUGUGGAGUCAUGCCUCAACCCUAGUGAUUCGGUUGAUCGAAGAUGACGCAAACAAUGGAAAUUGUGAGUUAUUCUUCAUCUAUUUUAAUGCUGAUUAAGAAAUAAAAGAUAGAGUUCUUAGAUGAUGAGAUUCCUCACAUCCUCACAUGCCUCAACCCUAGUUUUUUAUUUGAACAUUUCUUCACUCGUCUUAAUGACUUUUUGUUGGCUUUCUUGUAGUAAGCUUAUUUACUUUUCAAUGCUUACAUUGAUAAUACAGUAUAUCAAUGAAUGCCAUAUGGAGUACUAAUUAAGAAGAAAAUAUUUGGGAAUAUUACAUCCUUAUUCUUUACGUUACAUUCAAUGAAACCGUUUCGUUUAGGACUAUCUUUUAUCUUUUCUUCUAUGUUUUUCAGUGAAUGUAUUUUUUUUGUUCUAUUGUUGACUUGUUAAUUAAAAUGACUAAAGUACAUAUCUUUAUUUAAAAAUGGAAGAUUCCAUUAUUUUUGAUAGCAUCAUGGCCGGCUAAAUACAAGUUGAUGUUGUUGUAAAACAAUUUUUUUCUUCUGUAUUUUUCUAUUCGAGUCUUAUUUAAGUGUGUAUAAUGUUGAUUGGGUAAUAGUUCGAUUCCAAAAUAUUCAUUGUUUUACUUUGUAUUUAGUUUUGUAUUUUGUUUCCUAAAUAAGUAAAUAUUUUCCCGAUUCCGUUUUGCUAUUGUAUUAUGCGAUGAUAAUUGUUUUGAAUUCGUUUUGGUUACAAUUAUGCAUCUAUUGACUUGUAAAUUUGGAUUGCGUAUUCGUUUGCGUGACUGUUUCAAUUACAGCUUUGUAGACUUGUAAAUUAAUGUUGGUGUUUACCACUGUUGUACGUUCGUUCUUGAACGAUAUUUAUCCUAGCUUAAGUUUGGUAAACAAAUGGUUUUGUUUUUUUUCAUGGCAUAAUAUAUGUAUCAGUAUAAUAUGUAUGUUGCUGUUCUGGUUUAAUAAGGCACAAUAUAUGUUGCUGUUCUGGUAAUACAUUGUAUAUAUGGUAUAGUAUAUAUGCUGUUGUUCCUGCAUCAGAAUGGACUCGUAAAAUCUUGUAAAUAAUACCCCUGUUGCUGUUCUGGUUUAAUUUCUGUUUGCAUUGCUAAAUCAUAUUCAAUCUGUGAUUUCGACAUUGAUAAUGUGCCGAUAUACUGCUGAUUAUGUGUGUGUCUUUUACGAUGUUUCACUUCCGAUUUAAUCAUGUAGUUGCUGCGAUUAUGCAUCUAUUGACUUGUAAAUUUGGAUUGCGUAUUCGUUUGCGUGACUGUUUCAAUUACAGCUUUGUAGACUUGUAAAUUAAUGUUGGUGUUUACCACUGUUGUACGUCCAAAAACCACAGUAAAUGUCCAUAUGUCCUGAAGAUAUUGGAGUUCCAUGCUAGACCCGGGUCUAUCCUACUUGCCAACCAGCACGAACUGCCUUCUCUGAUAUCUUCUCUUUUUACAUCUGUUGUCUUACUAUAUUUAUUACAAGGUGAAGAUGUAAUACUGUACAUUUGCUCGAGAAGCACUUCGAAUAUAGUUAGGUUUAUCAGUUUCAUAUCAUUUUUUGGAAUUACCAUACUGUACAAUUUCUAUAAAAAUGUGAAGCCUUUUUUGAUGUUUGAACAUUUCUCACUCGUCUUAAUGACUUUUUGUUGGCUUUCUUGUAGUGAGCCUUAUUUACUUUCAAUGCUUACAUUGAUAAUGUUUUGUGGAUUUUGUAGGAGGAAAACUGGAAGAGGUCAUUGCACUUACUGUGAUAUAACUGUUAAAUUGUUUGUCUCACACAUAUCUUUCAGAUGACAAGGAUAAUACGACAUUAUGAAUUGUUACAGGCCCCGCCCAGGAGCAAGCGUAUGUGACAUUUUCAUUGUAUUAGAUUGUGUUGAUUCCUACUAUUGCUAGCAAUUUAAGACAUCCCCAUGAUGUACANNNNNNNNNNNNNNNNNNNNNNNNNUCAGUUCGUUGAACGUUAUUUAUCCUAGCUUAAGUUUGGUAAACAAAUGGUUUGUUUUUUUUCAUGCAUAAUAUAUGUAUCAGUAUAAUAUGUAUGUUGCUGUUCUGGUUUAAUAAGGCACAAUAUAUGUUGCUGUUCUGGUAUCAUUGUAAAUAUGGUAUAGUAUAUAUGCUGGUUGUUCCUGCAUCAGAAUGGACUCGUAAAAUCUUGUAAAUAAAUACCCUGUUGCUGUUCUGGUUUAAUUCUGUUUUGCAUUGCUAAAUCAUUUCAAUUCGUGAUUUCGACAUUGAUAAUGUGCCGAUAUACUGCUGAUUAUGUGGUGUCUUAUACGAUGUUUUCACUUCCGAUUUAAUCAUGUAGUUGCUGCGAUUAUUUUCAUUAAGUUUGGCAAUCAUGUCAGAGUCUUUGCAG
rnacentral:lncRNA from 1 species